AAACCUUGUUUAGAAUGGAGUCAGGCGGCCAGCAGGGGGAGCUUUCUCAUCCUGCCACAAUUUGUCAAUUGCAGAUCCAACAGGAAGAGAUGUACCUUUCAAUUCAAUACUAUUUUAGCGGAAAAAAAAAGGUUCUUCUUCUGCCCUGGCAACAGCCCAGCCAAUGACGAACGGUCACAACCCAGCCAAUGAAAAGCCACUAUACUUUGAACUCCCAGUUUACUCCAAUGGACUUUUUGUUUAUAACAGCCUUGUAACUCCCCCCCCCCCCCCCUCAUUUAUAAAAGACCAUUCCUCUCCUUUUUUCUACGGAGUUGCCUGUAGUUUUGUCUUGUUUUGUGCUGUAGUUUCUGUGUCCCAGAAUGCAAUUCUCCACGACUCCCAACUAAACUUAUUUGCUGGUAAAAUAACUGGCAGGGUUUUUUUUUUUUUUUAAUUUUUAUUUUUUUAAGUUUUAUUUAUUUAAGUAAUCUUUACAGCCAACAUGGAGCUUGAACUCUUGACCCGGAGAUGAAGAGUCUCAUGGUCUACCGACUGAGCCAGCCAGGUGCCCCUAGGAGUUUUAUCUUUAAGGUUAGCAAGGUGUUGGUAAAAUAAUUUAUCCUGAGGGGAAAAAAAAUUCUCUAGUGUAUUUCCGCAUGGUUCCUUUUCGUCUACCCUUAUUGGAAACACAAGGGGAUUUUUCUUCAGUAUUCAAUGCUAAGCAACUGGUCCAGGACUGCAUUUUCAAGAGAAACCCCAGAACUGACCACUACAGUUCCUUCUCCAGUGUCCGAGACAUCUCCAGAUAAAGAUGCACAGAAGAGUGCCACCUUGAAGGUGUCUGAUUUUUUGAUAGGACUACCUGAAGCAGAAGAUGGCACAGUGUGCUAUAGACCGAGAAGGUGGUGUGAAGAUGUGCAAAGAAGAGGUGAAGAGGAGGAGGGGAUGUUAUUCAGUGUUAUUUCGGUUACCACUCCUCCCCAUUUAAAGGACUGUAAACAUGGCAACUGGACCCAACUAAAGAGGAGGCAAUGAUGGCUAGUUUUCUCCUUGCAAUAAACUACAGUUAUCCUUUUUUACAAGACGAGGAAAAAAAUCUUUAAUCUUAUGCCAAGAACAGCCAAGCUCAGGUCAUGAUCUCAUGGUUCGUGGGAUUGAGUCUCAUAUGCUGGGCUCAUGCUGUCAGUGUGGAGCCUGCUUGGGAUUCUCUACCCCGCCCACCCCCCCACCCCCGCCCUCCUGCC